GGCCUGGUUGUGUGGUCCGCUUAACGGCGUGUACUGCUUGACUGGGUCUUACCUCUUGGUGAGCCGGCGUGCCCUUUAUUGGUGUGCGUCGGGGAACCAGGACUUUUACCUUGAGAAAAUUAGAGUGUUCAAAGCAGGCCUAUGCCCGAAUACAUUAGCAUGGAAUAAUAAAAUAGGACU
rnacentral:rRNA from 1 species